UAUAAAGUGAUGAUCAGGAAAGUACUGGGGCAAAGGUCUACAGAGAGCAGCCGGUUGUGAGAAGGUUUGAUACCGCAUGAUGGAAAGACACCUGUGAGUGUUGCUUUGAACGUGAUUAUUAGUAAAAGCAAACGGUACCUACCGUUAUCAGGGCUAAGAUGGUCAGUAUGACAAUUUGGGUGGUACCGCGGAAAAAAAUCCGUCCCUAUU
rnacentral:ncRNA from 1 species